AUACUGCUGACGAGUCCUAAAAUGGACGAAACAGCUGUCCAGUGC
rnacentral:hammerhead_ribozyme from 1 species